GCCUGGUUGGUCUAGUGGCCUAGGACGCUGCCCUCUCACGGCGGUAACAGGGGUUCGACUCCCCUACCAGGUACCA
rnacentral:tRNA from 1 species